UACGUAGGGGGCGAGCGUUGUCCGGAUUUAUUGGGCGUAAAGAGCGUGUAGGCGGCCAGGUAGGUCCGUUGUGAAAACUCGAGGCUCAACCUCGAGACGUCGAUGGAAACCAUCUGGCUAGAGUCCGGAAGAGGAGAGUGGAAUUCCUGGUGUAGCGGUGAAAUGCGCAGAUAUCAGGAAGAACACCUAUGGCGAAGGCAGCUCUCUGGGACGGUACUGACGCUGAGACGCGAAAGCGUGGGGAGCGAUCAGG
rnacentral:rRNA from 1 species